GUCAGCAGCCAUAUCACCCUGCAGCCCAAGACCGGUUGCCCACUGAAGCUAAGCAGUGUUGAGCCUGUUCAGUACCUGGAUGGGAGACCUCCUGAGAAAACUAGGUUGCUGCUGGAA
rnacentral:rRNA from 1 species